rnacentral:misc_RNA from 1 species
GACGGUCUAGAUGACCUCAUUGUGGUCACCCAGAAAGGAGUCCAUAUCGUACAGCCUGACAUGUUUGAUGUGGCUCAAGUGUGCUCAGAAAGACUACAGAUGUUAGCUCAAGUGAUUCAGACCACUAAGCCAGGGGAUGAGGAGACAUGAGACAUGAUGCAAUAAAUCUAGUGGUCAAACCAGUGCUGUGCAUGGAUGGCAUUAAUCUUUUGUCAAAUAGAAUUACUGUAUUUUAAAACAGGAAGACUAUUUGCUUUGUCUAAAUUGUCAUUGCGCUAAUAAAGAAUAGGGCUAUUUUGAAAGUUAGUUACUAGAACUCAACUCUGUUCAUGUCAAUUUAUAAAACACAUCUUUGAAAAGUGUGCUUUGGCAAAAUAAAAAGAACCUUGCAUUC